rnacentral:lncRNA from 12 species
GGGGGGGGGGGGGGGGGGGGGGGGGGGGGGGGGGGGGGGGGGGGGGGGGGGGGGGGGGGGGGGGGGGGGGGGGGGGGGGGGGGGGGAGGCUCCCGGCCGGGGGCGGCGGGGGGAGGACUGAGGCUGGAAAGGUGCGUGCUCGGAUUGCCGGAGGGCCGCUCUCCACCCCUGCGUACGGAAAUGAAGCUGCCAUUUGUGACCAGCGUCUUACAAGAAUCCAUUGAUACCAACGACAUGCAUGGAAUACUUAGAGGAAAAAUAAAAUCUGAAACACUAGCAUUGGAUCUUCAAACCUCUGACUGAGUGCCAGUGAAAAGAGGACACACUGAGAUAAAACCCAGCAUGUUUCAAACAGACAAAGAAGUUUUCUUAAUGAGUUUUUUUAAAAAAACAAUUUCUUUAAGAGCAAUUGAAAUACUGAACACUGGUUUCC